GAUGAACGCUGGCGGCGUGCCUAAUACAUGCAAGUCGAGCGAACAGACGAGGAGCUUACUCCUCUGACGUUAGCGGCGGACGGGUGAGUAACACGUGGAUAACCUACCUAUAAGACUGGGAUAACUUCGGGAAACCGGAGCUAAUACCGGAUAACAUGUUGAACCGCAUGGUUCAACAGUGAAAGACGGUCUUGCUGUCACUUAUAGAUGGGUCCGCGUCGCAUUAGCUAGUUGGUAAGGUAACGGCUUACCAAGGCAACGAUGCGUAGCCGACCUGAGAGGGUGAUCGGCCACACUGGAACUGAGACACGGUCCAGACUCCUAAGGGAGGCAGCAGUAGGGAAUCUUCCGCAAAGGGCGAAAGCCUGACGGAGCAACGCCGCGUGAGUGAAGAAGGUCUUCGGAUCGUAAAACUCUGUUAUUAUGGAAGAACAAAUGUGUAAGUAACUAUGCACGUCUUGACGGUACCUAAUCAGAAAGCCACGGCUAACUACGUG
rnacentral:rRNA from 1 species